rnacentral:lncRNA from 10 species
GUGGAACCUGGUGGGGUGCGCCUGCGUCUUGGAGAACUAGGGUUGUCGCUCGUGGAGACUUUUGAACAAUUUUUAAAGCCAACAUUUACCACUUAUUGGACGCUUACCGUAUACUGGCCACCAUGCUAAGCAUGCAUUUACUGCAUUCAUUCAACGUGUAUUUAUGGGGGCAUUUACUGUAUAUACCGCUGUAUGCUUCGUAUAUACCGGUCCUGUCCAACAAACGUCGGAGGCACGCAUCCCCAUUGUAUCCAUGGAGAAACUGAGGCUCAGGUUGGUCAACUCUCUUGUCCAAGAUCACGCAGCUAGGAAGUGACCCUGCAUUUCAUCUCUAUUUUGACUUCACUUUGGGGUUGCCUUUGACAGGGUGAGAGAAAUGUGAUAUUUUUCACAAUUUGUCUACCACCUGCCAUCUUCCAACUUGCUCUGCCAUAAUCACUGCCCCAGAAGGUUUCGUGCUUUUCGGGUGCAGGGACACGUUUUGACUUUCUUGGACCCUGAGCACUUUUGCCUUGUGGCUUGUACAUUACACACACACAUAUAUUUCACACACAUGUAAGUUAAAUAUAUGUAUAAAUAUUUAACAUAUUUUACAACUGCAUUGAUAUAAACAUGACGUAUCAAUAUUAUAUAACAAAAUAUUUUCUCUGACCUGAAAGUUCAUUUUUUUCUUCUGACUUUAAAAGAAUGUAAGCCGGCCGGGCGCGGUGGCUCACGCCUGUAAUCCCAGCACUUUGGGAGGCCACGACGGGCGGAUCACGAGGUCAGGAGAUCGAGACCAUCUUGGCUAACACGGUGAAACCCCGUCUCUACUAAAAAUACAAAAAAAUUAGCCGGGCGUGGUGGCGGGCGCCUGUAGUCCCAGCUACUCGGGAGGCUGAGGCAAGAGAACGGCGUGAACCCGGGAGGCGGAGCUUGCAGUGAGCCGAGAUCGCGCCACUGCGCUCCAGCCUGGGCAACAGAGCGAGACUGUCUCAAAAAAAAAAAAAAAAGGAACGUAAGCAAGGAGGGCUGGUAGUCUGCGCCUGUAAUCCUAGCUACUGGGGAGGCUGAGGAGAGAGGAUCGCUUGAGCCCAGGAGUUCUGGGCUGUAGUGCACUGUGUCACUAGAUAGAGUGUCUGCACUUAAGUUCAGGAGGGAGGGACCACCCAGGUUGCCUAAGGAGGGAUGAACCGGCCCAGGUCGGAGAUGGAGCAGGUCAAAACUCCCGUGCUGAUCAGUAAUGGGAUCAUACCUGUGAACAGCCACUGCACUCCAGCCUGGGCAACAUGGGGAGACCCUGUCUC